rnacentral:rRNA from 1 species
GGGGCGGGCGGCUUACACAUGCAAGUCGAGCGGUAACAGAGAGUAGCUUGCUACUUUGCUGACGAGCGGCGGACGGGUGAGUAAUGCUUGGGAAUAUGCCUUAUGGUGGGGGACAACAGUUGGAAACGACUGCUAAUACCGCAUAACGUCUACGGACCAAAGGGGGGGAUCUUCGGACCUCUCGCCAUUUGAUUAGCCCAAGUGAGAUUAGCUAGUUGGUAAGGUAAAGGCUUACCAAGGCGACGAUCUCUAGCUGGUUUGAGAGGAUGAUCAGCCACACUGGGACUGAGACACGGCCCAGACUCCUACGGGAGGCAGCAGUGGGGAAUAUUGCACAAUGGGCGAAAGCCUGAUGCAGCCAUGCCGCGUGUGUGAAGAAGGCCUUCGGGUUGUAAAGCACUUUCAGUUGUGAGGAAAGGGGUGUAGUUAAUAGCUGCAUCCUGUGACGUUAGCAACAGAAGAAGCACCGGCUAACUUCGUGCCAGCAGCCGCGGUAAC